rnacentral:rRNA from 1 species
GCUUACGGCCAUACCACCCUGAGCACGCCCGAUCUCCUCUGAUCUCGGAAGCUAAGCAGGAUUGGGCCUGGUUAGUACUUGGAUGGGAGACCACCUGGGAACACAAGGUGCUGUAAGCU